rnacentral:rRNA from 1 species
UGGGGAAUAUUGGACAAUGGGCGCAAGCCUGAUCCAGCAACGCCGCGUGGAGGACGAAGGCCUUAGGGUCGUAAACUCCUGUCAGUAGGGACGAAAAAGUAGGGUCGAACAGGCCCUGCCAUUGACGGUACCUGCAGAGGAAGCCCCGGCUAACUCCGUGCCAGCAGCCGCGGUAAUACGGAGGGGGCAAGCGUUAUUCGGAUUUACUGGGCGUAAAGGGCGUGUAGGCGGCUUGAUAGGUCAAAGGUGAAAGCCCUCGGCUCAACCGAGGAACUGCCUUUGAAACCAUCUGGCUCGAGGCCGGGAGGGGGUAGUGGAAUUCCUGGGUGUAGCGGUGAAAUGGCGCAGAUAUCAGGAGGAACACCAGUGGCGAAGGCGCCGCUCUGGGCCGUAACUGACGCUGAGGAGCGAAAGCAUGGGUAGCAAACAGGAUUAGAUACCCUGGUAGUCCACGCCGUAAACGAUGAGUGCUAGUCGUCGGCAGGCAUGCCUGUCGGUGACGCAGCUAACGCAUUAAGCACUCCGCCUGGGAGUACGGCCGC